rnacentral:misc_RNA from 1 species
GCUUCAUAAAUAAAUGUGUCAGAAAUUUAUGUUCAAUCAUACAAUAUUAUAAAUUCUACAAUUGGAAUUUUCCAUUGAUGAAGGGAUGAUAUUCCAUCAUUAGAACACCAAUCUGGACUCUUGAAUCACAAGCAAUGAGAAAAUUCUAACAAUAGUUCAACACAAUUUCAAAUUUCUUAUAUUUCUGUUACUUACCCUUUUCCACACAGGCAUCCAAGAGAUCACCAAAAACAAAUACCUACCUUUCACCAUACCUACCUUUCACCACCACGUCUGCAAUUAUUUUCGCUCUAGUUCUCUUGCAAAUUCUGUGUAUCUAUCAAGCUUACCCAACACCGCAUUCUUGAAAUUUACAGCUUCUUGAAAUUGUGAGCAAGACCUCUGGAUUCUAACCCCACUUGUACUAUUUCUUGACUCCAUCAACUCAUUGAGUGACAGCCUCUUUUUUGGCCCAGGUUCAGGCCUCUGCUUUGGAGCACUAUGUGAUCUCACUUUAGCCUUGAAAGAUUGAGUAUUAGCCAUAUAAUUAGGUGAAUUCCCAUAUUGUCUAAGGAGAUUAUCCGCACACAUAGUCUUAGCAGGUGUAAUAGAAGCAUUAGAUCCUCCUGAAUUGAGAAACCGAGGAGUGCUUUGUGCAGUAGAGAACCUACAUUCAUCACCCGUUAAGCCCCAGUAUGAAUCUUGAUAGUUUCGGGCAUGAAGCAUCGAUAAAAGUGGUGGAAUUCCUGAUGGAAGUGGAGAGGAGAGGAUUUGGUAAAAUGGGUCAUCGCCGAAAUCAGAAACUGAGGUGUUAGUUCUGCGAGAUCUUGAUUUUGGCCUGCAACCCCCUGUAUCAACCUCCACUAUCUUUGGACUUUCAUUAAUGGGGCUUAUUAACGUGGUGUCUAGUGAUGUUGAAAGCCUUCUACUGUGGAUUGAAGCUGUGUGUUCACUCCUUGUUUCGUCAAAUGUCUCCAAGGAUUUUCGAGCUCGAAUCUCGAAUCGGUUAUCAGUUCUUGUGAGAUUUCUGGCUCUGUGGGAACGGAUGGUGGCCUGUGCUCUAAUAAGAGCCUCCAUACUUUGAAGUGUUGCAGUUGCUUGUUUUCUUACCAGGUAUCCUCUAACACGGGCUUGUAACUUCACCAAUCCUUUUAAUGCUCGCAGUGCCUUUCUGG